rnacentral:rRNA from 1 species
UCCUGGCUACAGAACGAACGGCUGGUGGCGUGCUUAUACAUGCAAGUCGAGCGGCGUAGCAAUACGUAGCGGCGAACGGGUGAGUAACGCGUAAGCAAUCUGCCCCAUAUCAGGAAAUACCCGUGCCAACGCGCGGUUAAUGUCCAGGAGAGUGGCCCCCUGCAUGAGGGGUUGACUAGAGAUUCAUCGGUAUGGGAUGAGCUUGCGUCCGAUUAGCUAGUUGGCGGGGCAACGGCCCACCAAGGCGACGAUCGGUAGCCGGCCUGAGACGGGUGAUCGGCCACAUUGGGACUGAGAUACGGCCCAGACUCCUACGGGAGGCAGCAGUAGGGAAUAUUGCACAAUGGGGGGAACCCUGAUGCAGCAACGCCACGUGUGGGAAGAAGCAUUUCGGUGUGUAAACCUACUGUCGUGAGGGAAUAAGGCCUGCUUUCGGGCAGGAUUGAAUGUACCUCGAAAGGAAGCACCGGCAAACUUCGUGCCAGCCGCUGC